rnacentral:rRNA from 1 species
GACGAACGCUGGCGGCGUGCUUAACACAUGCAAGUCGAACGGAGUGGCGAACGGGUGAGUAACACGUGGGUGACCUGCCCUGCACUUCGGGAUAAGCCUGGGUAACUGGGUCUAAUACCGGAUAGUGUGGGAUGUGCCCGCGGGCUAUCAGCUUGUUGGUGGGGUAAUGGCCGACCAAGGCGGCGACGGGUAGCCGGCCUGAGAGGGUGGACGGCCACAUUGGGACUGAGACACGUCCCAGUGGCCUACGGGAGGCAGCGGUUGCGAAUAUUGCACAAGGGGCGGAAGCCUGAUGCAGCGACGCCGGGUGGGGAAUGACGGCCUUCGGGUUGUAAACUCCGUUCACCAUCGACGCGGUAGAUGGAGAAGAAGCACCGGCUAACUACGUGCCAGCAGCCGCGGUAAUUC